CAGCAGCCGCGGUCAAACGUAGGACCCAAGCGUUAUCCGGAAUUACUGGGCGUAAAGAGUUGAUCAGUGGCAUAGUAAGCAAACGGUGAAAGCGUGUGGCUCAACCAUACAGCUAUUGUUUGAACUGCUAAGCUUGAGCAUAGGAGAGGUAGCUGGAAUUUCCAGUGUAGGAGUGAAAUCCGUAGAUAUUGGAAGGAACACCGAUGGCGUAGGCAGGCUACUGGCCUAUUGCUGACACUAAGGCACGAAAGCGUGGGGAGCGAACGGGAUUAGAUACCCCGGUAGUCCACGCCGUAAACUAUGGAUGCUAGCUGUUAUCGGUAUCGACCCCGGUAGUAGCGAAGCUAACGCGUUAAGCAUCCCGCCUGUGGAGUACGAGCGCAAGCUUAAAACUCAAAGGAAUUGACGGUGUAGCGGUGAAAUGCUUAGAUAUCGUCAAGAACACCGAUAGCGAAGGCAGCUUACUAAGGAGUAACUGACGCUGAGGCACGAAAGUGCGGGGAUCAAACAGGAUUAGAUACCCUGGUAGUCCGCACAGUAAACGAUGAUUACUCGAUGUUGGCGAUACACAGCCAGCGUCUUAGCGAAAGCGAUAAGUAAUCCACCUGGGGAGUACGCCCGCAAGGGUGAAACUUAAAGGAAUUGACG
rnacentral:rRNA from 1 species